rnacentral:rRNA from 1 species
GACGAACGCUGGCGGCGUGCUUAACACAUGCAAGUCGAACGAUGACGCGGUCCUUGUACCGUGGUUUAGUGGCGAACGGGUGAGUAAUACGUGAGUGACCUACCUUUGACUCUGGGAUAAGCCUGGUAAACUGGGUCUAAUACAGGACACGACACAUCUCUGCAUGGGGUGUUGGUGGCAAGCGUUCUGGAGUGGUUUUAGAUGGGCUCACGGCCUAUCGGCUUGUUGGUGAGGUAAUGGCUUACCAAGGCGACGACGGGUAGCCGACAUUAGCGGGUGACCGCGCACACUAGGACUGAGGCACGGCCCAGACUGCUACGGGAGGCAGCGGGGGGAAAUAUUGCACAGUGGGCGCAAGCCUGAUGCAGCGGCGCCGCGUGAGGAAUGACGUCCUUCGGGGUGUAAACCUCUGUUAGCAUCGAAGUAGCGAAAGUGACGGUAGGUGCAGAGAAAGCGCCGGCUAACUACGUG